rnacentral:lncRNA from 13 species
CUCAGAGAUAUUUAUAUUUGAAUGAGUGGAAACCAAAAGAAUGACAUGAAAUUUAAAAUGGUAUUAAAAAAAGGAAAACCUAAUACAGAAUUUCAGGCAUCAAUGAAACAAAUAACCAAGAUACCCUGUAAAUUCAUGCUCUAAUAGUUUGAAUUUUUUGCUUAUUGUGACUUUCUUGGUUAGGAAUUAUUUCAUUACAAAGAACAGAAAACUACAUAUGUGAUAUCAAGAAAAAAAUAAAGGUAGAAAUUACUUCAUCAGAUUUUUUUUGCUACUACCUCAAAGACCUAAAGCAGCACCUCAAAGAAACGAGAAAUUUCAUGAGUAAGGGAAGGAAAGGAACCGGGAGAUCAGAAAACACCAGGAUGAAAGGCUGUGUGAAUAUGGGCAAGAGCCGUGACCUUUCCAAGCCCCAGUUACUCUUUGAAAGGUGGAGAUAAAUAAAAUUAUCUAAUUGAAUGCG